rnacentral:lncRNA from 1 species
AGUGCGCCUGCGGAGGCGGUCCUAUGACGGAAGUGUGGAACUGGUCUCAAUCGGUUGACCACCUUAAGGAAAUAGGAUUUACACUGUGGACAGAGAUGUGUCCUUUACACUUCAUUUGAACCAAUAUGCCCAUGCUCCUGUGGAGGCUGAGUUGGAAAGUGACACGAAGCUGCCCCCCCGCAAGAGAGCAGAAAAAGAUGUUGCUGGUCCAUUUGACGAAGAAGUCCAGAGCGGCUUGUGACUUCAGUCUGGCUUUGCAGAGCCCAGGUGCUCUCUCCACCUUCUGCCAGGUUCCCCUAUGAAGGCUUUGCUCUCAGACUCUCCCCUUGUGGAGACAAAAAUCCCACAGCAAGUGGAAACAGAAGUGCCUUGGAAAAAGUUAUUCUGGCAGCUCCUAUACAAGUCCCCCAUCAGAUGCUGGUAUUGGACCAGCUUUGGUUAUAAAGCCCUGCUGUGGCACCAAAAGGAAUGUCGUCCUGAUACAGCAGCCUCGGGUCACCCAAUCCACUCCAGAUACUAUGGCUGCAGCAUCAAUGUAAGCAGACAAGUUG